GCAUAGAGGAAAACUUAGGCAAAAUAUUCCAUGACAAUGAUACAGAGAAGAUUAACAUGGCCCCUGUACAAGGAUGACAUGCAAAUUUGUGAACUAAAACACUCCAUG